rnacentral:rRNA from 1 species
GCUCAAUGGAAUAAAAUUUAAAUAGCUGCAGUAUCAAUAACUGUACAAAGGUAGCAAAAUAAAUUAGCUUUUUAAUUAAAAGCCGGAAUGAAUGAUUUAAUGAAAAAAUAAUUUUAUUAAAUUUUUUAAUUAAAAUUUAAAUCUAAAUAAAAAUUUUUAGAUUAAUUAAAUAGACAAAAAGACCCUAUAAAAUUUUAUAAAUUUAAUUAAUUAUAAAUUAAAUUUAUUUAACUGGGGAAGUUAAAAAAUUUAAACAAUUUUUUUAAUUUUAAACAUUAAUUUAUGAAUAAUUUAAUUUUUUUAAAAAAUUUAAAUAUAAAUUACUUUAGGGAUAACAGUAUAAUUUUUUUUUUUAGUACUUAUAAAUAAAAAAGUUUAUAACCUCGAUGUUGAAUUAAGAUUUAAAUAUAACGAAAAUAUUAUAUUUUUAAGUCUGUUCGACU